GUGACCAUAUACAUGUCCAGCAGUCUCUUAAAUGCCCCCAAUGACCUUGCUUCCACAACUGCUGCUGGCAACGCAUUCCAUGUUCUCACAACUCUCUGUGUAAAGAACCUGCCUCUGACAUCCCCUCUAUACUUUCCUCCAACCAGCUUCAAACUAUGACCCCUCGUGCUAGCCAUUUCUGCCCUGGGAAAUAUUCUCUGGCUAUCAACUCUAUCUAUGCCUCUCUAUCUAUGUCUCUCUGUGCCGAGCAAAGUAAAAUUUCAUCAUUCACCACAUGGAAUACUGGAACUUUGUAGGGUAUAAUUUCAGUUUGGAUGUUGUGACGAGUGAGAAACUUGAAAGGUGCUUGGUUUGAAACUAGUGUAAGAACUUACCUUGGCCCUCCACAGAAUCCUGUGAGCUGAAUUAACUUGGAAGUAUUAAAAAAGUAAUCAGAACAUGAGGCUGAGAUAUGUAUAGUUAAGAGAAGGUAAAUGAAAAUUUGCUUUCUGAGAAUGGCUGGAGCUGAAGGAAGAUCUGUAAUGAAUGUGGCAUUUAUUUUAGUGGUCACUACAGUAGCAAAAACUUUAAAAUAGGAAUGUCUUAAGUGAAAUUCUUGGAGAAAUACUUAGACAUGAGCCACAUUUUAAGUUAAUAAUGGCAGUUUUAUUUGAGUUCUUUGCAUAUGAUAAUGUUUGUUUGUUGAAAAAUGUGAAAUCUUGAGCUGUAGUUAUAUUGGUUAAAACAGGGCGUUUGGAUUUCAUUCAGUGUUAACAGUCUCUAACCAGCGUGUAACAGUAAUACAUACAUCUCAUAAUCUAAAAUCUUUUAUUAUUUUUCUGUUUGGUGAUGACAUCUUAAUAGCUCUUCUGAUAAAUUCAUGAUAUGUUAAAUACUUCCACAGAAUUUUUGCAGCCUUUGUACUUGGAUAGAUUGAUUAAAUCAGCUUAUAAAACUUAAUCAGGGACAAAAACAAAGUUGCUGGAAAAGCUCAGCAGGUCUGGCAGUGUCUGUGCAGGAGAAAACAGAGUUAACAUUUCAGGUCCGGUGACCUAUCCUCAGAACUGAUGGUGGCUGGGAAAAUGUCAGUUUAAAUGCAGAAAAUAGGGAGGUUAUUGGGGUGGGGAGUAACCGAUAAGAGAGAGCCCAAAGAGAAAGAAAGUUGGACAGACAAAGGAGUUGCGAAUGAUCAGGCUGGGAGGGUGAGUAGUUGUUAAUGGGGGCUGUUAGUGACGAACAACAGGGGUGUGUAGUGGAAGGCUAUGUGGUAACAAGGCCUGGUGUGUGGCGUGGGGGCCUGGGACAUGAGGGAGUUUAGGCCCUAAAACUAUUGAACUCAAUGUUGAGUCUGGAGGGCUGUAGGGUCUCCAAGUUGCAAUUGAGAUGUUGUUCCUCCAAUGCGCUGGGCUUCACUGGAACAGUGUAGCAAGCUGGAGACAGAGAUAUUGGCCAGGGAGCAAGGUGGAGCAUUGAAGUGGCAGACAACACGUAGUUCAGGGUCUUUUUUGCGAGCAGAACGUUGAUGUUCUGUAAAGCGGUCACCAAGUCUACGCUUCGUUUCCCCAGUGUAGAGGCGACCACAUUGUGAGCAGCGAAUGCAGUAGACUAGAUUCUGGGAAGAGCAGGUGAAGUGUUGCUUCACCUGGAAGGUACGUUUGGGCCCUUGGAUACUGGGGAGGGAGGAGGUAAAUAUGCAGGUGUUGCACCUUUGCUGGUUACAGGGGAAGGUGUUGGGGGUGAAAGAGGUAUGGACUAGGGUGCCCCGGAGGGAAUGGUCCCUGUGGAAGGCGGACAAGGGAGGGGAGGGGAAUAUGUGUCUGGUGGUGUCAUCUUGCUGAAGGUGGCGGAAAUGGCAUCUGACGAUCUUCUGGAUGUGAAUGCUGGUGGGAUGGUAGGUGAGGAUAAGGGGGAUCCUAUCACUGUUGUGGGAGGAAAGAGAAGGGGUGGGGGCUGAAGUGCGGGAGAUGGGUCGGACCCGAUUCAGGGCCCCAUUGACCAUGGACAGAAUGACCAGGAAGAAUGUGGACAUUUCGGAGGCUCCCUUCAUGCUCCAUUUCAUAGUAUCAUUUCAUUGCUUAGAGAAAUAAUUAUUCUGUCCAAAGCAUUCUGAUCAUCAAAUGUAGUUGAUAAGUCAGAGUACUACUUUCCUGUUCAUUGGAAAUGCUACGUGAACAGUUGAGCUCAACACAAUUAACAGACAGAGGCAAAGCCGACAUCUGCUGGCUGUUUGGAGAAUACAGAAUUGAACACUCAAAUAAGGGGCAGUUACUGAAUAAAUAGAAACUUUUUUAAAAAAAUCUACAAAAAAAGUGCAGGUCCUUUUCACGUCAUUAAAAUGUAAUGUGUUUUGUGAUCUAAGCAAUUUUCCUUUCUCCCCAAGACACUUAACGGUGAGAUUGCAGUGAAUGUAAUACCCCCACAAUAGAGAUUACAGCAGUGAAGCUGAGCUUCCAGAAGUUUCUUCCGUUGAUUUAAACUUGCAGUAUUUUUCUCCAGGAGAAAUAAAUUUAACAUUGCCUCCACACUUACUUUGAGAGCCCUGUUAAAGUCACAUCAGUGAUCAGUCAAAAAAAAAUAUGGAUACCCUUCUUUAGUCAGUUCACAAAUUUUUUCAAAUUCUUUUCGUUUUCUUUGUUUUCCCACACCGAACCAAGUUUGUCCAAGUCUACCCCUCACAAAAGCAACAGCUUUUUCAUUCUGAAAUUUUAACUGAUAUUCAGGGGUACAAAUCCUUUCUCAUAGAUCACUUGUAUCAUUUGGUUUUAAAUCACUCUUUUUUCCAUGUUCCACAAAUCAGUUUUGAGUGCUGCUGUUAUCUGCUUUAAUAUUUCUUGCUUAGGAUCGCCUAAGAUUUAGUUCAUAUACCCUUAAUUUGUUUCCAACUGCUAUGAACUUUGUAGUCAGUCUGACACUCCAAUGUGUCUUCAACUUCAGAAGUCUGAGUUUUUUUUAACUCUUCAUACAGAAAUUUUGUUGAAACAGUGAUUUUCUUGCACGGUCACAAAUAAUCGCUGAUUUCUGUAAGAAUUUGAUUUCUUUUAUGCAUUUUUAAUUUCAUCUGGACUUGUCUAACAUUACAAUUUUAUCUCCAGUGAAGUCUAUAUCCAGCAUGAAAUUGACACUGUACUGAACAAUAUUGAUGUAAUUUCCACUGUAAUGGCAUAGGAAAUUAGAUACGUUUUAAAUUGGAACAGAUAAACAGCACCUAUUCAUACACAGAAUCAGUGCAAUAUUAAAUAGCAUACCUUUAUGAAGUAAUUUUCCUUUGGUUCUCACAAUUAGCCUUUGACCAGACUUUGUAUAUCUAAUGUCUAUUUGUUCACCUUCUUUACCAGACAACAGUGUAGCGAUCCCUCUCCCCCACCCUUUGAAUACACCAUCCUAACAAUCCUCAAUGCUAAUGAUAAAUACAUUUGAAGCUACUGGUUUGUUCCAAGCUCCAUCUACUGGCGCAAAAUUUCUUGCAGUCAGGCCAUGCACACCCUCAAAUGUUCGAGUUUUAGCUUUUAAUUUCCAACAAUCUGCCUUGAAAUGCUCUUUCUUAUGACAGAAAAAAACAUUGGUCCUCUGGAAUCAUACUGAUCUUCCAUAAUAUUUUUAAGUUGUUCCCUCAUCUCUGCUAUCUUAGUUAUUUAGUUAGUUUUUUACCAUCAGAUCUCUAAUCUCUCUGGUUUCUUUGCAGUUUUACAAUCAAUGACCUGUUGCUACUCAUAUGUUUGUGAAACACCUUGUAGCAUCUGUCAUAUUGCAGUCAGUGUUAUCAUAGAAAGGACACUACUUUCAGAUUCUUCCUAAGGAACAUAACUAUUAAGUACUUCUAUUAGUAUCUUUACUUCAGGGUUUUCAAAAUUUAGCUCAAUCGUCUCAGCCCUGUACUUCAUGAUAAAUAUCAUUUUCAAUUGCCUAGAAAAUUCCACAAAUGUCUGUUUCUAUAUUUUUCCUUAAAUUUCCUAACUUUUGCUUGUAAGCUUCUGCACUAACUUAUAUGCAUUGGGAACUUUACUCUUCACAUGAUCAGUACUGAGUAGUAAAAAAAGAAGCCUCCAUACAAUCAGUGAAGUGUGUAACCUACAGAGAAUCGAGUGUGGCAGAUUGGUAAGUGUGGGAGUUUGGUGAACUGGGGGAGGGAGGAUUUUCUUUUCCUGCUGUCUUGUUUUCCUCAUUAUUUUUACAGAUCUGUUUGGGACCAAGCCCCAGGAGCUGGAAGAUUAUUGAAGGAUUAACUGAGAAGCACUUAUAAGUCAGAGAAUAAGAGGAGGAGACUAAAGUUAAGGUACAACAAGAGCAAAUCACAGAGGCGCCGGAGAAAAAGAGGAAAUGCAGGAGGGAGCUUAAGAAAGCAAUUCGGAGAUCAAAGGUUUGGGGGGAAGAGGGAUGGCAAGCAUGAAAAACACUGGCUGGUAAGAUUAGAAACCCAAGAUAUUCCAUAAGUAUAUUAAGAGAAAUAAGAUAACCAGGGAAAGAUUAGGGCCAUUAGGAAUCAAGCAAGCAAUCCAUUGAUGGAGCUGGAGGUCAUUGGUAGGGUAUUAAAUGAGUUCCUCAUGUCUGGCUUCAAAUAAGACAAAGAGGAUGUAUGUACAGAAUUCGUAAAGAGGGACUGUGUCUUUGUGAAGUAGAGUCAUAUUUGAUGUGAAACAUUAACUGUUUCUCUCUCUACAGGUGCUGAAUUUCUUCAGCAUUUUCUGUGUAUUUUUUGAAAAUACUACGUGACCAGCCUUCGUGAUUUUAGUUUGCUUUGGACCCAGGAACUAUUUACUUCUCUGAUUCAAAACAGAGGAAGAAACACCAUCAACAAUCAUUAUCAUUGCUGGAAGCCUCCCACUGGAUGCAGAAGUUGGAUUUUUGGCCUUGAUUUGUGGGAUAAGACCCUACCAGAAAGUGUGUAUUCUGGGUUGGUGUUAGGCCCAGAUUAAUUACUGGAUAGAGAAAAUACUCAUGUCACCCAAGGCAUUGAUUGUGUAUUGCCUGAUUAAUGUUCAAGGGAGUUUGGAAGGAUUUGGGACUUCAUCAUGCUGUAACUGUCAAUAUUGUGGUAUCAUUAUAACAAUAAUUCACAGUAAAUUGAACUUUCAUAAUCUGACCCCAGUGUGUGGAAAUUGAAAUAUGAAAGCUAAAUGAUCCUGAGUUGGAUUCUUCUUAAUGUAUGGGUCAGAAAAAGCACAACCAAGAAAUGUCUACUGAACCAACCACAAGAGGUUUCUGUGGAAUGUCCUCAUCAGACCAAGCCUGUUUAGUCAAAUUGACUGUUUUUGUGCUGUCAUUUUCUUUAAAUAUCUGUUUGAGUGUGGCAACCAGUCAUUUAGCAGGUUAUUAAUAAAUCUUACAUUCCUGAAUGAGCUAUGGGUUAUCAGUAUCUAAUAGAUAAUAUAGGUAAAUUGAGGAAA